UACGGAGGGUGCAAGCGUUGUCCGGAUUUAUUGGGCGUAAAGAGCGUGUAGGCGGCCUGGAAGGUCAGCUGUGAAAACUCGAGGCUCAACCUCGAGACGUCGGUUGAAACCACCUGGCUAGAGUCCGGAAGAGGAGAGUGGAAUUCCCGGUGUAGCGGUGAAAUGCGCAGAUAUCGGGAAGAACACCCGUGGCGAAGGCGGCUCUCUGGGACGGUACUGACGCUGAGACGCGAAAGCGUGGGGAGCGAACAGG
rnacentral:rRNA from 1 species